rnacentral:rRNA from 1 species
GAUGAACGCUGGCGGCGUGCCUAAUACAUGCAAGUCGAGCGAACAGACGAGGCGCUUGCUCCUCUGACGUUAGCCGCGGACGGGUGAGUAACACGUGGAUAACCUACCUAUAAGACUGGGAUAACUUCGGGAAACCGGCGCUAAUACCGGAUAAUAUAUUGAACCGCAUGGUUCAAUAGUGAAAGACGGUUUUGCUGUCACUUAUAGAUGGAUCCGCGCCGCAUUAGCUAGUUGGUAAGGUAACGGCUUACCAAGGCGACGAUGCGUAGCCGACCUGAGAGGGGGAUCGGCCACACGGGAACUGAGACAGGGUCCAGACGCCUACGGGAGGCAGCAGUAGGGAAUCUUCCGCAAUGGGCGAAAGCCUGACGGAGCAACGCCGCGUGAGUGAUGAAGGUCUUCGGAUCGUAAAACUCUGUUAUUAGGGAAGAACAAAUUUGUAAGUAACUAUGCACGUCUUGACGGUACCUAAUCAGAAAGCCACGGCUAACUACGUG